AAGUCGUAACAAGGUCUCCGUAGGUGAACCUGCGGAGGGAUCAUUACCGAGUGAGGGCCUCCGGGUCCGACCUCCCACCCCUUGACAAACGUCCGGUUUGCCUCGGGGGUGACCCGGCCCUCUGUCAUGGAGCGUCCGGGUGCCCCCGGAGGGAUACCUACUCUGCGUCUUUGCGUCGGAGUUUGAAUAGAAAAUUGAAUGAAAACUUUCAACAACGGAUCUCUUGGUUCUG
rnacentral:misc_RNA from 1 species